rnacentral:rRNA from 1 species
AGAAUCAACGCUGGCGGCGUGCCUAACACAUGCAAGUCGAACGAGAAAGUGGUAGCAAUACCAUGAGUAAAGUGGCGCACGGGUGAGUAACACGUGACUAACCUACCCUGGAGUGGGGGAUAACUGAGGGAAACCUUAGCUAAUACCGCAUAAUACCCACGGGUCAAAGGAGCAAUUCGCUUUGGGAGGGGGUCGCGGCCGAUUAGUUAGUUGGCGGGGUAACGGCCCACCAAGACGAUGAUCGGUAU